GAGUAGAUUUUCUCUUUUUUUUCUCAUGUUGACCAAGGUGUUUAUAUACCAGUUCAUUAUUAUAUAAGUGUAGUGGUAGAGAUCUGUUCAUUAUGUAUUUCUAACAACUGAACAUCAUAUCGGUGAGUGUGAAAGAUUUAAGAAAGGCGCGAGCGAUAUAUAUAUAUGAUUAUAUUUUCCACAAAGUAUACAAAAGAUAAGCCGUCCAAACAUAAUUUACAUGUUUAUCAUACACCUGUUGUCAUGAUAAAAUCUUCUGUUUCCUUCGCUUUGUUGUGUUAAGAAUCUCUAACUUGAAGUUAUAUAUUCAUCCUAAAUGCUAUGUCACCUUGUUUUAUUUUGUGUGUCAAGAGUUGUGAUAUCGUCACUUUACCUGUUUAUUGUCAAUAAAGGAUAUUUUAUUCU
rnacentral:misc_RNA from 1 species